AGGAGUGGUGGCUGGCAGUGACUGAGGCUGGCCAGGCAGCCACCCUGCUGGGACAGGCACGCUGCUGAGCUAUGGCGCCUAAAAUCGGUCUCUGUUCAGCCGACAACCAGCAGGCUCACUGCACGGCUUUCUCACCCUCCUGAGCUCCUAUGGGUAACAUCCUGCCCUGGGGCUGACGUGCAGAGCUGCCUCGUACUCCUCACAGAAACCGGGCCUGGCUCUCUCCAGGCCCAGAGGGACCGGCAGGACCAGAAGCACCUUGAUCUCCAGAAGGACCCUGUGGGAGAAAGCAGCAAAGUGCCGAGUUGGGCCAGAGGGGCCAGGAGAGCCAGGAGGCCCGGGGGCCCCGGGAGCGCCCACAGCACCAGUCUCACCGCGAUCACCC